CCAGUUUAGCUAAGUGUCAGGAGCAAUAUGAAGAAAGUCCUGGUUGGAGGCGCAAGGCUCCAAGGCUUCAGACUAGCUGUGGAACCUCAGUGGUGACUGUACAGCUCCAUCCACAAGCAGUUAUUUGCAGGGUGAUCACCAUGGAGGGGGAACAUAGCUGUAGGUGGAUGUUCUUGGGACCCAGUUCGUGGGCACAGUGACCAGAUGAGGGGCAACAGGAGUUGGGCAUUGGGCAAUCAGCAGGUACCUACUAACAUGGUCACAGUGUUCCCAGCAACCAUGUGCAUGGUGAUUCCAAUGCCUCUG
rnacentral:lncRNA from 1 species